rnacentral:rRNA from 1 species
AUGAAUGAGCUCCUCCUACAAGACUAUACCCGAGAGGAGGUGUUUGAAGCUUUGCAGAGUAUUGGAGAUUUUAAAGCUCCUGGACCAGAUGGUAUGCCUUCUGUUUUCUACAAAAAAUGUUGGGAUGUGGUGGGAGAUAACAUUGUGGCUGAAGUGCUUGCAUUCCUUAAUGGUGUACCGAUGCCGGAGGGGUGGAACGAGACUUGUGUGGUUCUAAUCCCGAAAGUUAAAAACCCUGAGAGCAUGAAGGACCUUCGACCGAUUAGCCUUUGUAAUGUGGUGUACAAGCUAAUUUCCAAGGUCCUUGCAAAUCGUUUGAAGCAAAUUCUUCCAGAAAUUAUU